UACGAAGGGUGCAAGCGUUAAUCGGAAUUACUGGGCGUAAAGCGCGCGUAGGUGGAUUGGAAAGUUGGGGGUGAAAUCCCGGGGCUCAACCCCGGAACUGCCUCCAAAACUUCCAGUCUGGAGUUCGAGAGAGGUGAGUGGAAUUCCGAGUGUAGAGGUGAAAUUCGUAGAUAUUCGGAGGAACACCAGUGGCGAAGGCGGCUCACUGGCUCGAUACUGACGCUGAGGUGCGAAAGUGUGGGGAGCAAACAGG
rnacentral:rRNA from 1 species